GCCAGGCACGUGCCUUUAGUUCCAGCUACUCCCGAGGCUGAGGUGGGAGGAUCAUUUGAGCCCAGGAGUUCUGGGCUAUAGUGCGCUAUUCAGAAUGGGUGUCCGCACUAAGUUUGGCAUCAAUAUGGUGACCUCCCAGCAGCAGGGGACCACCAGGUUGCCUAGGCAGGAGUGAACUGGCCCAGGUCGGAAAUGAAAACUGCCGUACUGAUCAGUAGUGGGAUUGUGCCUGUGAACAGCCACUGCACUCCAGCCUGGGCAACAUAGCGAGAUCCUGUCUCU
rnacentral:SRP_RNA from 1 species